rnacentral:rRNA from 1 species
UGGGGAAUAUUGCACAAUGGGGGAAACCCUGAUGCAGCGACGCCGCGUGGGCGAGGAAGUACCUCGGUAUGUAAAGCCCUAUCAGCAGGGAAGAAAAUGACGGUACCUGACUAAGAAGCCCCGGCUAACUACGUGCCAGCAGCCGCGGUAAUACGUAGGGGGCAAGCGUUAUCCGGAUUCACUGGGCGUAAAGGGAGCGCAGGCGGCACGGCAAGUCUGGUGUGAAAGCCCGCGGCUCAACCGCGGGACUGCAUUGGAAACUGCCGGGCUUGAGUGCCGGAGGGGUAAGUGGAAUUCCUAGUGUAGCGGUGAAAUGCGUAGAUAUUAGGAGGAACACCAGUGGCGAAGGCGGCUUGCUGGACGGCAACUGACGCUGAGGCUCGAAAGCGUGGGGAGCAAACAGG